CUCUUUUGGCUUCUCUUUGCCUGUAGAACCAGAAAUGAAUGCAUUAUCCUUUCACAUUGCUUUGAUAAAUCUCAUUCCCUUUAGGAUUAAACAUUCCUGAACGUUUUUAUGCCUCACUGAGCUCUUUUAAACAAACAUAAAUUAAUUCUUUAGCUCAAAAUUUAUACUCGUGAGACCUAAUUCCCCUUGCCCCUAGCAUUAGGGGCCCUCUCUGGAAGGAAACGGGAGACCUGGUUACCUGGGAUAUGGAGAAGGCUGAGGUACUCAACAACUUUUUUGCCUCAGUCUUCACCAGCAACUGCUCCAGCCACACCGCACAAGUCACAGAACACAAAGGCAGGGACUGGGAGAAUGAAGAACUGCCCACUGUAGGAGAUCAGGUUCGAGACCAUCUAAGGAACCUGCAGGUGCACAAGUCCACAGGAACUGAUGAGAUGUGUCCACGGGUCCCAAGGGAACUGGUGGCUGAAGUGGCUCAGUCACUAUCCAUCGUAUUUGAGAAGUCAUGGCAGUCCAGGGAAGUUCCCACUGACUGGAAAAGGGGAAACAUAACCCCCAUUUUUAAAAAGGAAAAAAAGGAAGACCCAGGGAACUACAGGCCCAUCAGUCUCACCUUCUGCCUGGCAAGAUCAUGGAGCGGAUCCUCCUGGAAACUGUGCUAAGGCACGUGGAAAAUAAGGAGGUGAUUGGUGACAGCCAACAUGGCUUCACUGAGGGCAAAUCGUCCCCAACAAAUUUGGUGGCCUUUUGCGAUGGGGUUACAGCAUUGGUGGAUAAGGGAAGAGCAACUGACAUCAUCUACCUGGACUUGUGUAAAGCAUCUGACACUGUUCCGCAUGACAUCCUUGUCUCUAAAUUUGAGACACAUGGAUUUGGUGGAUAAGGAAUUGGCUGGAUGGUCACACUCAGAGUUGUGGUCAACGGCUCAGUGUCCAAGUGGAGACCAGUGACGAGUGGCGUUCCUCAGGGGUCAAUAUUGUGACCGGCACUGUUUAACAUCUUUGUUGGCAACAUGGACAGUGGGAUUGAGUGCACUCUCAGCAAGUUUGCCAACGGCACCAAGCUGUGUGGUGUGAUUGACACGCUGGAGGGAAGGGAUGCCAACCUGGUCUAGUGGAAGAUGUCCCUGCCCAUGGCAGGGGGGUUGGAACUAGGUGAUCUUUAAGGUCCCUUCCAACCCAAACCAUUCUAUAAGUCUAUAAUUAUUCUAGUCAUGUUCCUUUGUGCAAAGUGACCAUAAUGUUACUCUUCUGAUAUCUUACAUACCUGCUUUGUGCACUUAGAGAGGUACAGAGAUCAUGCAUGGCACUGAGCAGUGGGAAGCAAGACAGUUUGAUUCUGCAGUGUCCUACAGGGGCAAGUUGGAUGGUUAGAUGUCAAACAUCAAUUUUAGAUGCAAAUCCAGGACACUUUUGUGCUUUGUGCAAGUGGAAAUGCAGGUUUAACCACUAGGUACUACCUACUCUGUGACUUAGCAUAUCUCCACUGAAUUCAGGCUAAGCUGAAUGCACAUAUAGACAAGAGUUCACACCUCAAAUACUUAUACACAAAUAUCUGCAAAAUUGUUACUGGCAUAACAUGACUCAGCUCUCUUGAAAUAAUUGAGCCAUCUGAUUUAUACCACUAAUUUUUGUUCACUGUGCUGUAAACUCCUGGAAGCUGACCCUGUUCGAAAGAAUAUGAUAUAGAAAACAGAUUUUUUUUUUUUUUUUUUUUUUCCCCCUGCAGGGAAGGUACCCCACUGAAAAUAAUAUCAAACUUAAAACACUACAAAUCUCUACGAGAGUGCUGCAGUUCCACACAGCCAAGUUUUCCUUUGCCUUUAUGGACACGCUAGGUACCUCUCGACUUUGCUGGUGUGUGUAUUCAUUUAUAUUCAUGUACACAGUGCUGAUCUCAUUCGAAAUAAUAGCAUGUGCUGCUGGUCAUCCACGCAUGCUGCGAGUGGCCGCUACCAUACCAGCAUGUGGGGGGAAUCCUUUGGUCUAACUGGUUUGCUCGCUUGCAGCCUCCACGCAGGGGCUUCAGAGGUAGAGAAGUGUACGGCGAGGAGCCGAGGGGGACGACGUCUGCUGCCCACCCUGGCACCGCUCUGCGGGGCAGCUUCUGGACAAGAAGCAUGUAGCAUGGUAACAUGCACUGUACUACUCGUGCACCUGAGCAGCAGACCUCUGCAGGGAUUUUGCUGAUUAUCCCCAAGAGCAUGGACGUGGGGGAGUGGCAAGUUGGGCUGAGCUUGAAAAGGGCUGUGCCGGAGAAAGUAGCAAGGACUGUUAGAGGAAAUGGCCAUUUUCACUAACGUCUUACAACUGAAUACUUUGACCUGGUCAGAGCACAGGCAUCAGACUUUUGGGUGAAACCAACAUCGGAAAGGUACUCCAGGAGGACAAUUCCUGUGCUCCAGCCCGUCGGCACAUGGGACCAGACUGGAAAACCCAACCACACGUACAAUAUGGAUGUGAGGUCCUCAUUACCAGCUGUAGAUCUGCUCCCGUUUGGCUGUUUAGUUUUCUAAUGUAGAUACAGCCAUCUGACACCCAGAAUCCAUCAGCAGGGAGAAAAUGGAAGAGGCUAUAAGAACAAAAACUCGCAGUGGUUGAAAGUGUUAAACUGGAUCCAUAACGAGAAGAACAAAUUGAUUAAGCAACACACCAGUUAUGGAAAAGACUCAAAAAUAGCACCAAAGAGAGGACCGGGCAAUUCUGUGAAUUUCAACUCUUUGAUGAACCAUCAUUCAAGGUACAAAAUACACACCUGCAAAGCCAAUGAUCUGAGAAUGCUUGAAAUGGUGAUGGAGCUGACUGCCACAUUCACACCUCACUAUCUGGAGUACUUUUUACAUGGAGGCUGACUCAGCCGUACUGGAGGUGAAGAGAAGUCUGAUCUGCUUCUCUCUGUGCGAAACUUGGAAAUGGCAGUGGAGCGCCUACACAGGUACCACCUGAAUGACACCGCCCUGUGUUGCUCUUCACCAUCUUGGGCUUAGCAGCUCCACUAGCUCAGGAGUGAACCCACUGCACUCCGCUACACCCUGCACUUCCCGAUCCCUGCAAGCAUCCUAUCUAACUUCACAUGUUUAACCAAAGCACCCAGGUUAGCACUCCUUUGAGCUGUCAGUGAGAGAAGUGUCUGGGAAGACCCAGCUUAGCUGUGCUGAGCUGCUUCCUGGCACUGCCUGCUUGCACUGAGUACAGGUGGGGUCUGGGGGUAGUAGAUGCUUACCCUGGGGGGCUUAGCCCAGUGCCAUGGUGAGGCAGGAUGAACCUGGGACAAAAGGCUUGAUUGCUGCAUGUAUUUGAAGACCAAAAGCUGCAGCUACACCUGUGAGGAUUUUUUAAAAUCCCUCACAAUUGAUUAGAUUCACAGAGGUCCUGAGUCACUGACUCAGGGAGCUGCCAAACCUAUGAUCCUGUGCCAUUUAACUAGAAAAUGCUUUUUUUUAAACCUAUUUACUGAGAUCAAUUUGAAUAGCUUGGCAUUUGUUUGCUAGGGGGAUUUUUGGUUAAUUCUCUCCGUUCAUACCUAAAUAUUUUGUGCAAGCACAGUGGGAAUAUAAGUGCCCUUCGGGCUGCCUGUAAAGACAAAGGUUGAUGGGACAGACAGUAAAGUUAUCCCAUCAUUUUCCCUAGUACCUCUUAGCUCAUCUUGCAGUCUCCAGAUGGGCUAU